AAGGAGGUGAUCCAGCCGCACCUUCCGAUACGGCUACCUUGUUACGACUUCACCCCAAUCAUUCGUCCCACCUUCGGCGGCUGGCUCCAAAAGGUUACCUCACCGACUUCGGGUGUUACGAACUCUCGUGGUGUGACGGGCGGUGUGUACAAGACCCGGGAACGUAUUCACCGCGGCAUGCUGAUCCGCGAUUACUAGCGAUUCCGGCUUCAUGUAGGCGAGUUGCAGCCUACAAUCCGAACUGAGAACGGUUUUAUGGGAUUUGCUUGACCUCGCGGGCUUGCUUCCCUUUGUUCCGUCCAUUGUAGCACGUGUGUAGCCCAGGUCAUAAGGAGCAUGAUGAUUUGACGUCAUCCCCACCUUCCUCCGGUUUGUCACCGGCAGUCACCUUAGAGUGCCCAACUAAAUGCUGGCAACUAAGAUCAAGGGUUGCGCUCGUUGCGGGACUUAACCCAACAUCUCACGACACGAGCUGACGACAACCAUGCACCACCUGUCACUUUGUCCCCGAAGGGAAAGCUCUGUCUCCAGAGGGUUCAAAGGAUGUCAAGACCUGGU
rnacentral:rRNA from 1 species